UGUUGUAACGGCGCCUGUAGCGACCAGAUAGUUUAGUUCGGCCUAGAAGCAUGCUUUAAAAUAUAUCUAAGCUCGGCUUAGUGUCUUAGCUAAUUACACAUAUGUUUGAUAAAUCAGCUGUAACAGAGAUGCAGUGGGAAGCUCGUUUUAGACAUCUGGUGUUAUCAUCUGUGGCGAACUUCCGACCAUACCCUAGCCUAACACUACCUAUAUUUGGUAAGGUUCUUUUCUGAUUGACAUCCGAUAUGAGCAGACGUGCCAAUUUUUCUCAACGUCAACAAAGUUUUGUUUAAAUACUAUAUAUUGAAAUCGUGGAAAAUAAUAAGAGGAAUAAGUGCAGCGAGCCUAGCUGAGUAAUAUUUUUGUGAUUAAUUUUGGAAAACUAUUGAGAUAUAUAUAUGAUAUAUAUAUUUCUCACGUGGCCAUCAAUACUGGCAUCCGUGGGAGCUCCCCUUCAAGACAGUGGGGGGCAUGAUUUAAUAUCGUGCCCCAAAUUAAAUCGGACAAGAAAAAUGAGGAGUUUCAACUGGAAUUAAAUUCAAGAAUGCGGCAUUAAAGAAGUGAUUUGGAGAGAUGUUUAACCCUCUCUACCCACGGCAGCAGCAGCAGCAGAUUUAGUAUAGCCAAAUAUGGACACAAAAGGGAAUAUAUAACCUGGAAUUGCUUUUAAGCCGCUACUGCGAUUUUUUUUUAAAGUGAAAUAUUAUAAUUAAAAAUUUGAAAGUUUUGAAACGUGCCAAAGUGAAGAAAAUUUAAUGAAUCAAAGAUAGCAACAUGCCGUAAAAAUCAAGUUUAAGUGAUAUUUUCUAAAGUCUGAAUGAUUCAGUCUAAAACGUAAUAUUUAAAUUAAAUUAAAUUUAAAACUUAAUUUUUCACGAGUGGAGUUAUUUACGCAUCGAUUUUGUUUUGGAAAAUUCGCUCAACUAUGACUUAAAAGCGAUAAAUUAAAUAUUUAUUUUUUUUUUGUAAAUUUAAAUAUAAUUUGAAAAUAGCAACUUCUGAUAAGAAACAAUAGUGAAUAUUAAAUUUAAAAAUGUGGUUAAGUGAAGAUAUCACAGUCGCUUCUCAGUAAAAUAUGUAGGCCUAAAAGGGUUCCAAGUUAAAAGAUUUUUAUAGAAUAGUUUUGUGUUUUCGAGCCCCAAUUUCACCCUUUACAGCCACCUGCCCGGGAGAUCGAUCUUUCGCCGCUGGAACAACGUAUAAGCUGUGAGUUUAUUAUUCUCAUUAUUGCAUUUAUAUCUAUUCUAUUUAUAUCUUAUUGCGAAAUACUCUAUGAAAUAAUUUUUAACAAUCUACUUGAAUGAAACUGUGAAUUUAAAAGAACCCUGAACCGAUAGCCUCACUAAACUAAAUUAAAUUAAACAAAAAGAUAUCAAACAGAAUGAAGAUGAUUUAGUGAAAUAAAAAAAUAAAUUAAAGCAAUGAAAUUUAAAUAUCUAUUGUUAUACAAGAGUAAUAUUUUUUUAUUGAUGAAGUACGAUAUCUGAAUACCCUAUAUUUUUCUUAUUUCUUAUCUUUUUAAAUAUAUACGAACAUUAUAACUAC